AAAGAGAAUUUAAGUUCUCAGGAGCAGAAAGAAGUCGAGCGUGCGUUUGAAGGCCGAUCUUCCGGGACUUGUGCCUGGCACUUUUCCUUCCAGACCCAGUGAAACUUCAGCCUGUAUAGGCUGAGGUCAGAAGUGCCGGUCAAAAUGGAAGUGAAUCCCCCCAAACAGGAGCACCUGCUGGCGCUAAAAGUGAUGCGAUUGACCAAACCUACUUUGUUCACCAAUAUUCCUGUAACUUGUGAAGAGAAGGACUUACCUGGUGAUCUCUUUAACCAGUUAAUGAAAGAUGAUCCUUCAACUGUAAAUGGUGCAGAGAUUUUAAUGUUGGGAGAAAUGUUGACUUUACCCCAAAAUUUCGGGAAUAUAUUUCUGGGAGAGACCUUUUCCAGUUACAUCAGUGUUCACAACGACAGCAAUCAAGUUGUAAAAGAUAUAUUGGUGAAGGCGGAUCUCCAGACGAGUUCUCAGCGUUUAAACCUUUCAGCCUCCAAUGCUGCUGUGGCUGAACUUAAACCUGAUUGUUGUAUUGAUGAUGUCAUACACCACGAAGUAAAGGAAAUUGGGACGCACAUGUAAGAAUUAAGUUUACUACUUCUCAAAAACUUGUACUCAUUUAUUAAUUUAGUUUCCUUUUUCCUUUUGUGGUCUUUUGUACAUUUUUAAUAUUUAUAUAUUUUAAAUAUAAUAAAUACAUAAAUGUGCAAUAUAUUUAAGUAUAUUGUGUAUUUAUACAUUUUAAAUGUUA
rnacentral:lncRNA from 1 species